rnacentral:rRNA from 1 species
GACGAACGCUGGCGGCGUGCUUAACACAUGCAAGUCGAACGGAAAGGCCCUGCUUUUGUGGGGUGCUCGAGUGGCGAACGGGUGAGUAACACGUGAGUAACCUGCCCUUGACUUUGGGAUAACUUCAGGAAACUGGGGCUAAUACCGGAUAGGAGCUCCUGCUGCAUGGUGGGGGUUGGAAAGUUUCGGCGGUUGGGGAUGGACUCGCGGCUUAUCAGCUUGUUGGUGGGGUAGUGGCUUACCAAGGCUUUGACGGGUAGCCGGCCUGAGAGGGUGACCGGCCACAUUGGGACUGAGAUACGGCGCAGACUCCUACGGGAGGCAGCAGUGGGGAGUAUUGCACAGUGGGCGGAAGCCUGAUGCAGCAACGCCGCGUGCGGAAUGACGGCCUUCUGGUUGUAAACAGCUUUCGCCUGUGACGAAGCGUGAGUGACGGUAAUGGGUAAAGAAGCACCGGCUAACUACGUG